UGAGGAAUAUUGGUCAAUGGGCGCAAGCCUGAACCAGCCAUCCCGCGUGCAGGAAGACGGCCCUAUGGGUUGUAAACUGCUUUUCCAGGGGGUGAAUUAAUCCGACGUGUCGGGUUUUGACGGUACCCUGGGAAUAAGCAUCGGCUAACUCCGUGCCAGCAGCCGCGGUAAUACGGAGGAUGCGAGCGUUAUCCGGAUUUAUUGGGUUUAAAGGGUGCGUAGGCGGACAAAUAAGUCAGUGGUGAAAACCUGCAGCUUAACUGUAGACUUGCCGUUGAUACUGUUAGUCUUGAGUAUGGUCAAGGUAGGCGGAAUGUGUAAUGUAGCGGUGAAAUGCUUAGAUAUUACACAGAACACCGAUUGCGAAGGCAGCUUGCUGGGCCAUUACUGACGCUGAUGCACGAAAGCGUGGGGAUCGAACAGG
rnacentral:rRNA from 2 species